UACGUAAGGGGCGAGCGUUGUCCGGAAUCAUUGGGCGUAAAGCGCGUGUAGGCGGCCCGGUAAGUCCGCUGUGAAAGUCCAGGGCUCAACCCUGGGAUGCCGGUGGAUACUGUCGGGCUCGAGUCCGGAAGAGGCGAGUGGAAUUCCUGGUGUAGCGGUGAAAUGCGCAGAUAUCAGGAGGAACACCAAUGGCGAAGGCAGCUCGCUGGGACGUGACUGACGCUGAGACGCGAAAGCGUGGGGAGCAAACAGG
rnacentral:rRNA from 1 species